CUCCGAUACAAUUGACAAUGUCAAGGCCAAGAUUCAAGACAAGGAAGGGAUCCCACCUGACCAGCAGAGGCUCAUCUUUGCUGGAAAACAGCUUGAAGAUGGCAGAACAUUGGCCGAUUAUAACAUCCAGAAAGAGUCAACUCUUCAUCUCGUUUUGCGACUUCGUGGUGGUAUGCAGAUUUUUGUAAAAACCCUUACAGGAAAGACAAUUACUUUGGAGGUAGAGAGCUCGGACACGAUUGACAAUGUAAAGGCUAAAAUACAGGACAAGGAGGGAAUCCCACCAGAUCAGCAGAGGUUGAUCUUUGCUGGGAAGCAAUUGGAGGAUGGAAGGACCCUUGCUGACUACAACAUUCAGAAGGAGUCUACUCUUCACCUUGUUUUGCGCCUUCGUGGUGGGUUUUAAGAAUGUGAAUGUUGCCUACUCUCUUAUCACGUGUUGAACUUCUACAGUUGUUAGUUUUUAUGUUUUAGAACUUGUGCUGGGU
rnacentral:lncRNA from 1 species